AUUGAACGCUGGCGGCAGGCCUAACACAUGCAAGUCGAGCGGAUGAAGGGAGCUUGCUCCUGGAUUCAGCGGCGGACGGGUGAGUAAUGCCUAGGAAUCUGCCUGGUAGUGGGGGAUAACGUCCGGAAACGGGCGCUAAUACCGCAUACGUCCUGAGGGAGAAAGUGGGGGAUCUUCGGACCUCACGCUAUCAGAUGAGCCUAGGUCGGAUUAGCUAGUUGGUGGGGUAAAGGCCCACCAAGGCGACGAUCCGUAACUGGUCUGAGAGGAUGAUCAGUCACACUGGAACUGGGACACGGUCCAGACUCCUACGGGAGGCAGCAGUGGGGAAUAUUGGACAAUGGGCGAAAGCCUGAUCCAGCCAUGCCGCGUGUGUGAAGAAGGUCUUCGGAUUGUAAAGCACUUUAAGUUGGGAGGAAGGGCAGUAAGUUAAUACCUUGCUGUUUUGACGUUACCAACAGAAUAAGCACCGGCUAACUUCGUG
rnacentral:rRNA from 1 species